GUAUAGUGUAGUUUUGUACGAUUCAUAUCUAACGUUUGAUCGUCCGUCUUAUUGGAAAAAAUUUUAUGAUUAGUAUUUUUUAUUAGAUGAUAAAACAUGAAUCGUAUUUUAUGUAACUAACUUUUUAAUUUUUUUAUAUUUUUUUUAAAUAAGACGAAUGAUCAAACAUUGAACAUGGAUAGUAUAGCUAGAUGUAUA
rnacentral:pre_miRNA from 1 species